AGAUAAAAGAAUCCAUUGUUGGUGACAUCAGGCGAGAGAUUGUAAGUGGGCUGUUGGCAGCAGUUUCCUCUCCAAUGCGGUCCUUGGAUGGAAAAACUGAUGGGCGGAUUUAAAUGGUAAUCUGAAAUCCACUGAAAUCCAUUUAUUUUGGAAAACAUGCUAGAAGAAUGAAUGAAGCAGAAUUUCAAGUCAAGCUAAUUAUUCAGGAGAGAGAAUAUGCUGCUGAAAAAUGUACUCUACACACUCUGUGUAUUGUGUUCCCCCCUCCUAUGAGUAAUGGAAUAUGUGUGUGUGUGUGUGAGUUUUUUAAUUUGGGCACUUUGCUUAGCUUUGCCAAUAAGAGAACCAGGGAGGUUUCAUCUAAUAUUUAUUUCAAUGUACUGUGUUUCUAUUGUAUUUUGUUUUGUUUGUUUUUUUGUUUUUUUAACUAAAACUUGAAGAUUUACUUUUCCAAUUUCAAAAUGACCUUCCCACUGCAAGAGGGAGUAUGAAUUGUUGCAAAGUAUGCAUUGCCAGGGGUGAAAUGGUGAAACAACUGUAUGUCUGGCUUUGACACUGACCUCCAUGAGGUAUAGACUGUGCAAUACAUGAUUCACUUUGAGAGCUUUACAACAAAUAUUUUUUCUUCUGCUGUGUAGUGCCACUUUAAGCUAAGCAUAUGGAACAUUUGCUGCAUUACUUUCAAAGCGGAAUUUGGUUUUGUAACUUGUUUAGUGGAUUACUUGCAUUUACCGAAAACUACUUUAUGUUCUUACACUGAAAGAUGUAUUUUCGAACACAAGAUUAUUUAAACAUUUUAUUCCGUUUCCCAUAGUUCAGUUCUUUUGUGUGCCAUUUUUUAACACUAUAAUUUUUAUUGAUUUAUUUCCCUGCUCUUUAAGACCUUGUCUUAAAUGUGAUUUAUAUUGAUCAUAAGUGUUGACUGGAAAAAAAACCUGUUAAAAAUCUGGGAUUUUUCCCCUUCUGAUCUUCAGUGACACGCACACUAUUUUUUCCUUGAUCACUGUUUGGAGCUAAACUAAAUGCUUGUUGGGAAUGUUCAAUCCAGGCCACUCAAUGGCACAAUUUUAUGGAAAUUGAGUUUAAACCUUGGUGGUUUUCAUAAUUUAGUGUAUUCUGCUGAGUUUCAGUUAGAGAAGAAUAUAACUGUAAAAUCUAAAACUGUACACACUUAAGUACACAAGGGCUGAUUUCUAAUUAUAUAAAAUAAAGUAUUUAUUUUGCAUACA